AUUGAACGCUGGCGGCAGGCCUAACACAUGCAAGUCGAGCGGAUGAAGGGAGCUUGCUCCUGGAUUCAGCGGCGGACGGGUGAGUAAUGCCUAGGAAUCUGCCUGGUAGUGGGGGAUAACGUCCGGAAACGGGCGGUAAUACCGCAUACGUCCUGAGGGAGAAAGUGGGGGAUCUUCGGACCUCACGCUAUCAGAUGAGCCUAGGUCGGAUUAGCUAGUUGGUGGGGUAAAGGCCUACCAAGGCGACGAUCCGUAACUGGUCUGAGAGGAUGAUCAGUCACACUGGAACUGAGACACGGUCCAGACUCCUACGGGAGGCAGCAGUGGGGAAUAUUGGACGAUGGGCGGAAGCCUGAUCCAGCCAUGCCGCGUGUGUGAAGAAGGUCUUCGGAUUGUAAAGCACUUUAAGUUGGGAGGAAGGGCAGUAAGUUAAUACCUUGCUGUUUUGACGUUACCAACAGAAUAAGCACCGGCUAACUUCGUG
rnacentral:rRNA from 1 species